rnacentral:rRNA from 1 species
CCUACGGGAGGCAGCAGUGGGGAAUAUUGCACAAUGGGGGAAACCCUGAUGCAGCGACGCCGCGUGAGUGAAGAAGUAUCUCGGUACGUAAAGCUCUAUCAGCAGGGAAGAAAAUGACGGUACCUGACUAAGAAGCCCCGGCUAACUACGUGCCAGCAGCCGCGGUAAUACGUAGGGGGCAAGCGUUAUCCGGAUUUACUGGGUGUAAAGGGAGCGUAGACGGCAGCACAAGGCUGGAGUGAAAUCCCGGGGCUUAACCCCGGAACUGCUUUGGCAACUGUGCUGCUGGAGUGCAGGAUGGGUAAGCGGAAGUCCUAGUGUAGCGGUGAACUGCGUAGAGAUUGGGAGGAACAUAGGUGGCGAAGGCG